rnacentral:lncRNA from 1 species
UCCGCGUCCCCCAGAGAAGGGCCUGAGCGCAGCCUCGCCCCCAGUGCCCACAAUGUCACCCCACCCCGGCUGUAUCCGCUGUCACCCCGCCUCGGGAACGCGCCCGGCUCCGGGGUGCGGCCCCACGUCGCGGAAGUGUGGGGGGGGGACGCCGCUGACUCACCCCGGCGUCAGCCGCCUCGGGGGCCUCCCGCGGCCGCCUGUGACCACCUGUGACCGCCUGUCGCCCUCCUCAGGUCGCCCCCGGCGCCUCGGCCCGACCCCGCAGCACCGAGGCGGCGCCCGAUGUCCCCUCGGAGCCGCCAGCGUUCGACGCCGCCUCGCGCUACAAGGACAAGCCCUGGGAGUACCUGGAGACGGAAGAGUACCAGGCCACGUACGGCGACAAACCCGUCUGGUUCGGCUACCGCCGCAACCACAAAGGCUCCGUGCCGCCCCAGAAGACGCGCAAGACCUGUUUGAACGUGAAGCUCUUGGACCAGUUCAUCUGCCCUCACUCGGGCGUCGUCUACCACCCCACGUACACAGGUGAGGCCGGCGCCCUUGGGUGCCAUCGGGGUGCUGCCGGGGCGCCGCGGCCGCCGCUCUCACCCGUCCCCUCCCUCCUU